rnacentral:rRNA from 1 species
GACGAACGCUGGCGGCGUGCUUAACACAUGCAAGUCGAACGGUAAGGCCCUUCGGGGUACACGAGUGGCGAACGGGUGAGUAACACGUGGGUGAUCUGCCCUGCACUUCGGGAUAAGCCUGGGAAACUGGGUCUAAUACCGGAUAGGACCACUGCCUGCAUGGGUGGUGGUGGAAAGCUUUUGCGGUGUGGGAUGGGCCCGCGGCCUAUCAGCCUGUUGGUGGGGUUAUGGCCUAUCAAGGCGACGACGGUUAGCCGGCCUGAGAGGGUGACCGUUCAGGCUGGGACUGAGAUACGACCCAGGAUCCUACGGGAGGCAGAAGGGGGGAAAAUUACACAUUGGGGGCAAGCCUGAUGCAGCGACGCCGCGUGAGGGAUGACGGCCUUCGGGUUGUAAACCUCUUUCAGCACCGACGAAGCGCAAGUGACGGUAGGUGCAGAAGAAGGACCGGCCAACUACGUGCCAGCCGCCGCGGUAA